ACCCGCUGAACUUAAGCAUAUCAAUAAGCGGAGGAAAAGAAACCAACAGGGAUUGCCCUAGUAACGGCGAGUGAAGCGGCAACAGCUCAAAUUUGAAAUCUGGCCUUCGGGUCCGAAUUGUAAUUUGUAGAGGAUGCUUUUGGUGCGGUGCCUUCCGAGUUCCUUGGAACAGGACGCCUUAGAGGGUGAGAGCCCCGUACGGUUGGACACCAAGCCUCUGUAAAGCUCCUUCGACGAGUCGAGUAGUUUGGGAAUGCUGCUCUAAAUGGGAGGUAAAUUUCUUCUAAAGCUAAAUACCGGCCAGAGACCGAUAGCGCACAAGUAGAGUGAUCGAAAGAUGAAAAGUACUUUGAAAAGAGGGUUAAAUAGCACGUGAAAUUGUUGAAAGGGAAGCGUUUAUGACCAGACCUUUGCCUGGCGGAUCAUCCGGUGUUCCUCACCGGUGCACUUCGCCUGGCUUAGGCCAGCAUCGAUUUCUGGAGGGGGAUAAAGACCAUGGGAACGUAGCUCUCUUCGGGGAGUGUUAUAGCCCUAGGUGUAAUACCCUUCCGGGGAUCGAGGUUCGCGCUCCGGCAAGGAUGCUGGCGUAAUGGUCAUCAACGACCCGUCUUGAAACACGGACC
rnacentral:rRNA from 1 species